CUGCUGCCUCCCGUAGGAGUCUGGGCCGUCUCUCAGUCCCAAUGUGGCCGUCCACCCUCUCAGGCCGGCUACUGAUCGUUGCUUUGGUGGGCCGUUACCCCGCCAACUGGCUAAUCAGACGCGGGCCCAUCCCAUACCACCGGAGUUUUUCACACUGCGCCAUGCGGCACUGUGCGCUUAUGCGGUAUUAGCAGCCGUUUCCGGCUGUUAUCCCCCUGUAUGGGGCAGGUUGCCCACGCGUUACUCACCCGUCCG
rnacentral:rRNA from 1 species